rnacentral:rRNA from 1 species
CGAAAGCCUGACGGAGCAAGACCGCGUGGGGGAGGAAGGCUCUAGGGUUGUAAACCCCUUUUCUUUGGGAAGAACAAAAUGACGGUACCUGAGAAAUCAGCCUCGGCUAACUCCGUGCCAGCAGCCGCGGUAAUACGGAGGAGGCAAGCGUUAUCCGGAAUUAUUGGGCGUAAAGCAUCCGCAGGUGGCGAUUCAAGUCUGCUGUCAAAGCACGGGGCUUAACUCCGUAAAGGAAGUGGAAACUGAAUAGCUAGAGUGCCGUAGGGGUAGAGGGAAUUCCCGGUGUAGCGGGGACAUGCGUAGAGAUCGGGAAGAACAUCGGUGGCGAAAGCGCUCUACUGGACGGCAACUGACACUCAGGGACGAAAGCUAGGGGAGCG